AUUGAACGCUGGCGGCAUGCCUUACACAUGCAAGUCGAGCGGUAACGCGGGGCAACCUGGCGACGAGUGGCGAACGGGUGAGUAAUGCAUCGGAACGUACCCAGUAGUGGGGGAUAGCCCGGCGAAAGCCGGAUUAAUACCGCAUACGACCUAAGGGUGAAAGCGGGGGACCGUAAGGCCUCGCGCUAUUGGAGCGGCCGAUGUCAGAUUAGGUAGUUGGUGGGGUAAAGGCCUACCAAGCCUUCGAUCUGUAGCUGGUCUGAGAGGACGACCAGCCACACUGGGACUGAGACACGGCCCAGACUCCUACGGGAGGCAGCAGUGGGGAAUUUUGGACAAUGGGCGAAAGCCUGAUCCAGCCAUGCCGCGUGCGGGAAGAAGGCCUCGGUUGUAACCGACUUUGUCUAGGGAAGAAACGAC
rnacentral:rRNA from 1 species